rnacentral:rRNA from 1 species
AUUGAACGCUGGCGGCAGGCCUAACACAUGCAAGUCGAGCGAGCAGCGGAAGGGUGAGUAAUGUAUGGGGACUGCCCGAUAGAGGGGGAUAAAUACUGGAAACGGUAGCUAAUACCGCAUAUUAUCGGAUAACCCAUAUGGGAUUAGCUAGUAGGUGAGGUAAUGGCUCACCUAGGCGACGAGCCCUCGCGGGUCUGAGAGGAUGAUCAGCCACACUGGAACUGCGACACGGCCCAGACUCCUACGGAGGAAGCAGUGGGGAAUAUUGCACAAUGGGCGCAAGCCUGAUGCAGCCAUGCCGCGUGUAUGAAGAAGGCCCUAGGGUUGUAAAGUACUUUCAGUCGGGAGGCGUUACCGACAGAAGAAGCACCGGCUAACUCCGUGCCAGCAGCCGCGGUAAUUC